rnacentral:rRNA from 1 species
UUUAUGGAGAGUUUGAUCCUGGCUCAGGAUGAACGCUGGCGGCGUGCCUAAUACAUGCAAGUCGAGCGAACGGACGAGAAGCUUGCUUCUCUGAUGUUAGCGGCGGACGGGUGAGUAACACGUGGAUAACCUACCUAUAAGACUGGGAUAACUUCGGGAAACCGGAGCUAAUACCGGAUAAUAUUUUGAACCGCAUGGUUCAAAAGUGAAAGACGGUCUUGCUGUCACUUAUAGAUGGAUCCGCGCUGCAUUAGCUAGUUGGUAAGGUAACGGCUUACCAAGGCAACGAUGCAUAGCCGACCUGAGAGGGUGAUCGGCCACACUGGAACUGAGACACGGUCCAGACUCCUACGGGAGGCGACAGUAGGGAAUCUUCCGCAAUGGGCGAAAGCCUGACGGAGCAACGCCGCGUGAGUGAUGAAGGUCUUCGGAUCGUAAAACUCUGUUAUUAGGGAAGAACAUAUGUGUAAGUAACUGUGCACAUCUUGACGGUACCUAAUCAGAAAGCCACGGCUAACUACGUGCCAGCGUACGCGGUAAUACGUAGGUGGCAAGCGUUAUCCGGAAUUAUUGGGCGUAAAGCGCGCGUAGGCGGUUUUUUAAGUCUGAUGUGAAAGCCCACGGCUCAACCGUGGAGGGUCAUUGGAAACUGGAAAACUUGAGUGCAGAAGAGGAAAGUGGAAUUCCAUGUGUAGCGGUGAAAUGCGCAGAGAUAUGGAGGAACACCAGUGGCGAAGGCGACUUUCUGGUCUGUAACUGACGCUGAUGUGCGAAAGCGUGGGGAUCAAACAGGAUUAGAUACCCUGGUAGUCCACGCCGUAAACGAUGAGUGCUAAGUGUUAGGGGGUUUCCGCCCCUUAGUGCUGCAGCUAACGCAUUAAGCACUCCGCCUGGGGAGUACGACCGCAAGGUUGAAACUCAAAGGAAUUGACGGGGACCCGCACAAGCGGUGGAGCAUGUGGUUUAAUUCGAAGCAACGCGAAGAACCUUACCAAAUCUUGACAUCCUUUGACAACUCUAGAGAUAGAGCUUUCCCCUUCGGGGGACAAAGUGACAGGUGGUGCAUGGUUGUCGUCAGCUCGUGUCGUGAGAUGUUGGGUUAAGUCCCGCAACGAGCGCAACCCUUAAGCUUAGUUGCCAUCAUUAAGUUGGGCACUCUAAGUUGACUGCCGGUGACAAACCGGAGGAAGGUGGGGAUGACGUCAAAUCAUCAUGCCCCUUAUGAUUUGGGCUACACACGUGCUACAAUGGACAAUACAAAGGGCAGCGAAACCGCGAGGUCAAGCAAAUCCCAUAAAGUUGUUCUCAGUUCGGAUUGUAGUCUGCAACUCGACUACAUGAAGCUGGAAUCGCUAGUAAUCGUAGAUCAGCAUGCUACGGUGAAUACGUUCCCGGGUCUUGUACACACCGCCCGUCACACCACGAGAGUUUGUAACACCCGAAGCCGGUGGAGUAACCUUUUAGGAGCUAGCCGUCGAAGGUGGGACAAAUGAUUGGGGUGAAGUCGUAACAAGGUAGCCGUAUCGGAAGGUGCGGCUGGAUCACCUCCUUU